rnacentral:rRNA from 1 species
ACAGAGAGAGCUUGCUCUUUGCUGACGACCGGCGCACGGGUGCGUAACGCGUAUACAAUCUGCCUAUCACUGAGGGAUAGCCCGAAGAAAUUUGGAUUAAUACCUCAUAUUAUUAUAGAAUCGCAUGGUUUUAUAAUUAAAGGUUACGGUGAUAGAUGAGUAUGCGUCCUAUUAGCUAGAUGGAGAGGUAAAGGCUCCCCAUGGCUACGAUAGGUAGGGGUCCUGAGAGGGAGAUCCCCCACACUGGUACUGAGACACGGACCAGACUCCUACGGGAGGCAGCAGUGAGGAAUAUUGGACAAUGGGCGCAAGCCUGAUCCAGCCAUGCCGCGUGUAGGAAGACGGCCCUAUGGGUUGUAAACUACUUUUAUACGGGAAGAAACCUAUCCUCGUGAGGGUAGCUGACGGUACCGUAAGAAUAAGCACCGGCUAACUCCGUGCCAGCAGCCGCGGUAAUACGGAGGGUGCAAGCGUUAUCCGGAAUCAUUGGGUUUAAAGGGUCCGUAGGCGGGCUAAUAAGUCAGUGGUGAAAUGCAGGGGCUCAACUCCGGCACUGCCAUUGAUACUGUUAGUCUUGAAUUAUUGUGAAGUGGUUAGAAUAUGUAGUGUAGCGGUGAAAUGCUUAGAUAUUACAUAGAAUACCGAUUGCGAAGGCAGAUCACUAACAAUAUAUUGACGCUGAUGGACGAAAGCGUGGGUAGCGAACAGGAUUAGAUACCCUGGUAGUCCACGCCGUAAACGAUGGUUACUAGCUGUUUGGACGAAUUGACGUCUGAGUGGCCAAGCGAAAGUGAUAAGUAACCCACCUGGGGAGUACGUUCGCAAGAAUGAAACUCAAAGGAAUUGACGGGGGCCCGCACAAGCGGUGGAGCAUGUGGUUUAAUUCGAUGAUACGCGAGGAACCUUACCAGGGCUUAAAUGUAGUAUGACAGAUUUGGAAACAGAUUUUUCUUCGGACAUAUUACAAGGUGCUGCAUGGUUGUCGUCAGCUCGUGCCGUGAGGUGUCAGGUUAAGUCCUAUAACGAGCGCAACCCCUAUUGCUAGUUGCCAGCGAGUCAAGUCGGGGACUCUAGCGAGACUGCCGGUGCAAACCGUGAGGAAGGUGGGGAUGACGUCAAAUCAUCACGGCCCUUACGUCCUGGGCCACACACGUGCUACAAUGGUAGGGACAGAGAGCAGCCACCACGCGAGUGGGAGCGAAUCUAUAAACCCUAUCACAGUUCGGAUCGUAGUCUGCAACUCGACUACGUGAAGCUGGAAUCGCUAGUAAUCGCAUAUCAGCCAUGAUGCGGUGAAUACGUUCCCGGGCCUUGUACACACCGCCCGUCAAGCCAUGGAAGCUGGGGGUACCUGAAGUCGGUGACCGCAAGGAGCU